UAAAAAGACUACUUUCGCAUGAAAGAAGUUUAAAAAGGUACGGCGGUAAGCUGUCGCUAAAGGAUGGACCUGCGAUGCAUUAGCUAGUUGGUAAGGUAACGGCUUACCAAGGCGAUGAUGCAUAGCCGAGUUGAGAGACUGAUCGGCCACAUUGGGACUGAGACACGGCCCAAACUCCUACGGGAGGCAGCAGUAGGGAAUUUUCCACAAUGGACGCAAGUCUGAUGGAGCAACGCCGCGUGAGUGAAGAAGGUUUUCGGAUCGUAAAGCUCUGUUGUUGGUGAAGAAGGAUAGAGGUAGUAACUGGCCUUUAUUUGACGGUAAUCAACCAGAAAGUCACGGGCUAACUACGUGCCAGCAGCCGCGGUAAAU
rnacentral:rRNA from 1 species